GAGGCUAUAGCUCAGUGGUAGAGUGCAUGCUUAGCAUGCACGAGGUCCUGGGUUCAAUCCCCAGUACCUUCA
rnacentral:tRNA from 1 species